AAGAAGACUCGCCACAGAAGAUGAUGAUUUGCCCCAGAGCCAGUCUACGUCGCGACAUCGGUCUAAAUGGACACACCAUGAAAAGAUGACACCCAGCACCCCAGUCUCUGACUGCCGCUCUCCUCGACGAGAUUCAACUUCGCAUACAGACGCUAAAAAGGCUGGAGCUAUGCUCUCUGAAUGCCAGCUCUUGUCUCAUCCGACCAACUUGUCGAAGACUGGCCUAGGCAGGACGCCCACCUCAUCACGAGGUGGCGAGGACACAUCGGACCAUCCCCGACUGCAGAACAUCCUGCAAGCGCUCUGAGCUACCCUUUUCUGGGGGCCUGAGCUCACCCCAGGGUUGGGGACGGAAGCGGGCACCCGCUCCGAAAGUCUUGCGUGCUUCCUUUCUGCCAAAUGCACCUGUUCCCCGUGCGUACCAGGCCGGCCGAACACCCAGAAGCUUUACCUGCCUGCCUCAAGACACGCAAGUCCAACAAUUGCGGUCUACUAAAAGUACAGAUUUGUGCAUAUUUGUGUUUAAAUUAACAAGAUCAGGAAUCCCCAGCUAUAUGCAUUCACUACACGCUCAUUCUACCAAUCUCACAUCACAAGUCAGUUUCCAAUGUUUAUCUGUACUUUGUUUAUUUUGUGGUUUUCUAUAUUGUUUCCCUGUAGAUUCCCCAUGUUCGAUCAUUAAAUUUUCCAUAAAAUUCAC